GAUGAACGCUAGCGGCAGGCUUAACACAUGCAAGUCGAGGGGUAUAGUUCUUCGGAACUAGAGACCGGCGCACGGGUGCGUAACGCGUAUGCAAUCUACCUUUUGCAGAGGGAUAGCCCAGAGAAAUUUGGAUUAAUACCUCAUAGUAUGUGAGAAUGGCAUCAUUUUCACAUUAAAGUCACAACGGCAAAAGAUGAGCAUGCGUCCCAUUAGCUAGUUGGUAAGGUAACGGCUUACCAAGGCAACGAUGGGUAGGGGUCCUGGGAGGGAGAUCCCCCACACGGGAACUGAGACACGGACCGGACUCCUACGGGAGGCAGAAGUGAGGAAUAUUGGACAAUGGGCGCAAGCCUGAUCCAGCCAUGCCGCGUGCAGGAUGACGGUCCUAUGGAUUGUAAACUGCUUUUGUACAGGAAGAAACACUGGUUCGUGAACCAGCUUGACGGUACUGUAAGAAUAAGGAUCGGCUAACUCCGUGCCAGCAGCCGCCGUAACAC
rnacentral:rRNA from 1 species